rnacentral:rRNA from 1 species
UACGUAGGGUGCAAGCGUUGCCCGGAAUUAUUGGGCGUAAAGAGCUCGUAGGCGGCCUGUUGCGUCCGCUGUGAAAGCCCGGGGCUUAACCCCGGGUCUGCAGUGGAUACGGGCAGGCUAGAGGUAGGUAGGGGAGAAUGGAAUUCCCGGUGUAGCGGUGAAAUGCGCAGAUAUCGAGAGGAACACCUGCGGCGAAGGCGGGUUGCUGGGCUGACACUGACGCUGAGGCGCGAAAGCCAGGGGAGCGAACGGG